rnacentral:rRNA from 1 species
AUCAUUGUCGAAUCCUGCCUAGCAGAAUGACCAGAGAA